AUCUUUGGUGAUUUUAGCUGUAUGGUGUGUUUCAAAGUUCCAUAGAGCUUUAUCACCAAAACC
rnacentral:pre_miRNA from 1 species